GUCGGCCACGGGACCUGACGCAACAGGAUGGACGAGUCCCCUGAGCCUCUGCAGCAGGGCAGAGGGCCGGUGCCGGUCCGACGGCAGCGCCCAGCACCCCGGGGUCUGCGUGAGAUGCUGAAGGCCAGGCUGUGGUGCAGCUGCUCGUGCAGUGUGCUGUGCGUCCGGGCGCUGGUGCAGGACCUGCUCCCCGCCACGCGCUGGCUGCGUCAGUACCGCCCGCGGGAGUACCUGGCAGGCGACGUCAUGUCUGGGCUGGUCAUCGGCAUCAUCCUGGUGCCGCAGGCCAUCGCCUACUCAUUGCUGGCCGGGCUGCAGCCCAUCUACAGCCUCUAUACGUCCUUCUUCGCCAACCUCAUCUACUUCCUCAUGGGCACCUCACGGCAUGUCUCCGUGGGCAUCUUCAGCCUGCUUUGCCUCAUGGUGGGGCAGGUGGUGGACCGGGAGCUCCAGCUGGCCGGCUUUGACCCCUCCCAGGACGGCCUGCAGCCCGGAGCCAACAGCAGCACCCUCAACGGCUCGGCUGCCAUGCUGGACUGCGGGCGUGACUGCUACGCCAUCCGUGUCGCCACCGCCCUCACGCUGAUGACCGGGCUUUACCAGGUCCUCAUGGGCGUCCUCCGGCUGGGCUUCGUGUCCGCCUACCUCUCACAGCCACUGCUCGAUGGCUUUGCCAUGGGGGCCUCCGUGACCAUCCUGACCUCGCAGCUCAAACACCUGCUGGGCGUGCGGAUCCCGCGGCACCAGGGGCCCGGCAUGGUGGUCCUCACAUGGCUGAGCCUGCUGCGCGGCGCCGGGCAGGCCAACGUGUGCGACGUGGUCACCAGCACGGUGUGCCUGGCGGUGCUGCUAGCCGCGAAGGAGCUCUCAGACCGCUACCGACACCGCCUGAGGGUGCCGCUGCCCACGGAGCUGCUGGUCAUCGUGGUGGCCACACUCGUGUCGCACUUCGGGCAGCUCCACAAGCGCUUUGGCUCGAGCGUGGCUGGCGACAUCCCCACGGGUUUCAUGCCCCCUCAGGUCCCAGAGCCCAGGCUGAUGCAGCGUGUGGCUUUGGAUGCCGUGGCCCUGGCCCUCGUGGCUGCCGCCUUCUCCAUCUCGCUGGCGGAGAUGUUCGCCCGCAGUCACGGCUACUCUGUGCGUGCCAACCAGGAGCUGCUGGCUGUGGGCUGCUGCAACGUGCUACCCGCCUUCCUCCACUGCUUCGCCACCAGCGCCGCCCUGGCCAAGAGCCUGGUGAAGACAGCCACUGGCUGCCGGACACAGCUGUCCAGCGUGGUCAGCGCCACCGUGGUGCUGCUGGUGCUGCUGGCGCUGGCACCGCUGUUCCACGACCUACAGCGAAGCGUGCUGGCCUGCGUCAUCGUGGUCAGCCUGCGGGGGGCCCUGCGCAAGGUGUGGGACCUCCCGCGGCUGUGGCGGAUGAGCCCGGCUGACGCGCUGGUCUGGGCAGGCACCGCGGCCACCUGUAUGCUGGUCAGCACAGAGGCCGGGCUGCUGGCUGGCGUCAUCCUCUCGCUGCUCAGCCUGGCCGGCCGCACCCAACGCCCACGCACCGCCCUGCUGGCCCGCAUCGGGGACACGGCCUUCUACGAGGAUGCCACAGAGUUCGAGGGCCUCGUCCCUGAGCCCGGCGUGCGGGUGUUCCGCUUUGGGGGGCCGCUGUACUAUGCCAACAAGGACUUCUUCCUGCAGUCACUCUACAGCCUCACGGGGCUGGACGCAGGGUGCAUGGCUGCCAGGAGGAAGGAGGGGGGCUCAGAGACGGGGGUCGGUGAGGGAGGCCCUGCCCAGGGCGAGGACCUGGGCCCGGUUAGCACCAGGGCUGCGCUGGUGCCCGCAGCGGCCGGCUUCCACACAGUGGUCAUCGACUGCGCCCCGCUGCUGUUCCUAGACGCAGCCGGUGUGAGCACGCUGCAGGACCUGCGCCGAGACUACGGGGCCCUGGGCAUCAGCCUGCUGCUAGCCUGCUGCAGCCCGCCUGUGAGAGACAUUCUGAGCAGAGGAGGCUUCCUCGGGGAGGGCCCCGGGGACACGGCUGAGGAGGAGCAGCUGUUCCUCAGUGUGCACGAUGCCGUGCAGACAGCACGAGCCCGCCACAGGGAGCUGGAGGCCACCGAUGCCCAUCUGUAGCAGGGCCAGGCCUGCCCAGCAGCCUCUGCUCCCUCCUGGGGACCCACAGCAGACGUCUGCAAGCCACUGCUGAGACCCUUCCCAGGGAGGAGCCACCCAAGAGCUGCACUCUUGUGCCACAGCUGCCCUGGGGAAACCGGGGAACCCCAACUGGGAAAGGAGGCCCUCUGAUCACACGCAGGACCCAAACACUCAGAAAUCAAGAACCUCUGCCUCCGAGACAGGCUGGCCCACAGUGCUGGCUGGGCCCCAAUGCACCGUCCCUCAGCUCAGGAGGGAUGGGCCUGACCUGACGCUCAGGGUUGACAUCUUAUUUGAACAAGGGUCCCCCGCCAUCAUGCAGCCUCCAAGGUGCCAAGAGGACUCCCUAUGCCCAGGCCUGCCCGGUGCCCACCCUGCUGGUAGGAGCCAGCGGCUCUGGCCAAGUGCACGAGGGUCUCUGUGUUUCCAGAAGGCCCCACACACCCAAGUGCCCCUCACACCUCGUGCCUCCCCCUCACAGGGUGGCCACCUGCACCAGCGUCAGGGCCCAGGGUGCUGUGACCGAUGAGACCUCAGCUCAGCCCUCAGGUGCAGUGGCCCUACCCAGCCUGGCCAGCAGACACACACAGGGAUGCUCACGGGUGCACCAGGAGCCAGGUGCGGCGCAGCCAACCCUGAGCCUGCAGGGAGACCUGCAGGAAGCCCACCGUGCCCCAUGCAGGGGCUCCCUCCAGCACACAGCCCUCACCCCAGCACAGCCAGCAAGGACACGCUCUCCCCAACAGGGUGCUUCGGCGGGAGGUGGGGGAACAAGGGGUCUUCCGAGCAGCCCCCAGCCCUCCCCUCCCAUCUGUGCCUCUGUAAGGGGCUCUGGGACGCCCAGACCCUGCCCGCCGCCCACCUGGUGGUGACAAGCUCCAGCAGCCAGUGGGUCCGGACCUGCUUGAUGCCGCGGUGAGGGACGGCGCCCACAUAGGCGAGGUUGAGCUGCUGGUCCCAGCUGAGGACGUACUGGUCAGCCUGGCUGUGUGGCAGCGGGGGGCUGGGGACAACAAAGGGGCGGCUCAGUCCCGAGCCUCAGCAUGGCUGGCAGCGCGGCUGACACACACGUUCAAGCCCAGGACUGCCCGGGCGCAGGAUCCAGGCGCUGCCCGUGCGUUCAGUGACUAAUAAAAUGACCCUUAGGGCCAGGAAUGUGGGGAGGUCCCAUCUUCAUGGGGAACGGCAGCAGCAGUAAGACGAGGGGCCAACGCCAGCCCUGGCCCUGGCCCUGCCAGGAAGGCGGGUACCUCAGCUCUAGGUGGAAGGAAUGGGACAGGCAGGCCAGGUCCCGCUGCAGGGCCGUCCACUCCCAGGGGAGACUCCUGGUUUACCUCAAAGAGCAGGAUCCCGGGCAUCGGCCUGGGCUGCAGGGGGCGGCCCAGGCUCACGCCCCGGCGCCCACUCAGGUGGAGGACCCACCCACAAACACGGCGGGGGGCGGGCCCGGGAGAGCCAGGGCCCCAGAGGAGGGAGCUCCGGUCUCUGAAGCUCUCACAGUGCGCAGUCAGGGGGCGCCCGAGCUCUCCCCGUGCGGCCAGGGGGUCCCGGAGGCCGCGGAGCGCUCACCAGAAGCCUGUGCUCCUCCAGAAGCGCCGCAGGGGCCACAGCGCGCGGGCCGCGUCCACAUGCACCAGGUGCGGGGCCUCGGCCGGGGCCACCGGGGGCGCGGCCAGGAGCGAGGCCAGGAGCGCCAGCAGCGCGGCGCGGGGGCGCAGGGGACGCAUGGCCACGCGUGCUCGGGGACUGCGGGGCUUCGGGCUGCACUGCCGGUUCCGCCUCCGGGUCGGAGUCUGGGCGCGCACCCCAUGUGACCGCCGCCGCGGGGCGGGGCCUUGGUGAGGGGGCGAUGGCCGGGUGGGAGGGGUUGGGUGGCCUCGGGGAGCCUCGGGGAGCCGGGAGCACGGCAGGGCUUGGAGCCCCGCUUCCUUGCGGGCCUCAGGGGCUGCUCUGAGGACCGAUGACUCGGAAAGCGCUCAGAAGAACGCUUCGCCCGUUGGUGCUAUACGUCCUGGGGUAGAAACAGCUUCCAGCAACACCCAUGGCAAUUAACACAGAGGAGUGACUCGCAGGAACUUCUGGAAGAGGAGGAAAGAUCUUGCUGAUUUAACAGGAAAUGCCGACAUCAACGACAUCGAGAAUGCGGGACCCUCACACCAGCCUCACGAGAAGCCGGUGGAUACAGCUUAUUCCAGAGGGAGGCUUGGAUCAGCACCUGGGGAAAAAAGGCAGCCCCUCAACCUGGCCAGCCUGCAGAGGAGAGAAGCCUGAGCAAGCGUCCUCCAAAUUUCACAACAGGCUUUACCAUGUGGAUGAUGUAACCAGUCAUCAGUACAUUUCUGUAAAGCAAAGCACACUUUUAAAAACCAGCCAUGCUAGUGGGCCUGAGGAUUACCUUUCGUCUUCCUCUUUCCUCUGUGGAAGAUGAUAUUGCAAAAUUGUAAAAAGAGACAAUAAAAAAGUGGAUGAAAGGGUAUCCUAGCAAGCUGUUAUGAAUAAAAAAUCUCGGUAUUUUCUGGA